rnacentral:rRNA from 1 species
UACGUAGGGUGCAAGCGUUGUCCGGAAUUAUUGGGCGUAAAGAGCUCGUAGGCGGUUUGUCGCGUCUGCUGUGAAAAUCCGGGGCUCAACCCCGGACUUGCAGUGGGUACGGGCAGACUAGAGUGUGGUAGGGGAGACUGGAAUUCCUGGUGUAGCGGUGAGAUGCGCAGAUAUCAGGAGGAACACCGAUGGCGAAGGCAGGUCUCUGGGCCACUACUGACGCUGAGAAGCGAAAGCAUGGGGAGCGAACAGG